rnacentral:rRNA from 1 species
UACGUAGGGUGCGAGCGUUGUCCGGAAUUAUUGGGCGUAAAGAGCUCGUAGGCGGUGUGUCGCGUCGGCCGUGAAAACCUGGGGCUUAACUCUGGGCGUGCGGUCGAUACGGGCAUCACUGGAGUUCGGCAGGGGAGACUGGAAUUCCUGGUGUAGCGGUGAAAUGCGCAGAUAUCAGGAGGAACACCGGUGGCGAAGGCGGGUCUCUGGGCAUUACCUGACGCUGAGGAGCGAAAGUGUGGGGAGCGAACAGG